CACUCACGUGGUGGAGAGGCGGGGCAAUAGUUGGAGAUGAUUGGUUCUGAGAAUUGGCUGUGAAAGCGGCAUUGCUGACCAGUGAGAGAGACCUAAUGAGGAGCAGGCCGGGGCAACCAAUGAAAUCGGAGAAGAGCGCUUGGGGGCGUGUCCGCCUGCUUUCAGCCUUUGCUAAAAUCAGUCAUCUUCCUGCGAAGGCAUGAGGAGGAAAAGAGAGGAAGUAACUGAGCGAUAAUAUGCUGUAUGAGCCUCCUGCUCUGCUGCCCAUUACCUGCGUCACCUCCACAAGCUACUGAACCUCAAGGAACCCAUCUCCUCAUCAGGAAAAAAAAUAAGCUUUAUGUAG
rnacentral:lncRNA from 1 species